GAAUCCAUAGGUUAAUGAGGCGAACCGGGGGAACUGAAACAUCUAAGUACCCCGAGGAAAAGAAAUCAACCGAGAUUCCCCCAGUAGCGGCGAGCGAACGGGGAGGAGCCCAGAGCCUGAAUCAGCAUGUGUGUUAGUGGAAGCGUCUGGAAAGGCGCGCGAUACAGGGUGACAGCCCCGUACACAAAAGCGCAUGUGCUGUGAGCUCGAUGAGUAGGGCGGGACACGUGGUAUCCUGUCUGAAUAUGGGGGGACCAUCCUCCAAGGCUAAAUACUCCUGACUGACCGAUAGUGAACCAGUACCGUGAGGGAAAGGCGAAAAGAACCCCGGCGAGGGGAGUGAAAAAGAACCUGAAACCGUGUACGUACAAGCAGUGGGAGCACCCUUCGGGGUGUGACUGCGUACCUUUUGUAUAAUGGGUCAGCGACUUAUAUUCUGUAGCAAGGUUAACCGAAUAGGGGAGCCGGAGGGAAACCGAGUCUUAAUUGGGCGUUAAGUUGCAGGGUAUAGACCCGAAACCCGGUGAUCUAGCCAUGGGCAGGUUGAAGGUUGGGUAACACUAACUGGAGGACCGAACCGACUAAUGUUGAAAAAUUAGCGGAUGACCUGUGGCUGGGGGUGAAAGGCCAAUCAAACCGGGAGAUAGCUGGUUCUCCCCGAAAGCUAUUUAGGUAGCGCCUCGUGAAUUCAUCUCCGGGGGUAGAGCACUGUUUCGGCUAGGGGGCCAUCCCGGCUUACCAACCCGAUGCAAACUGCGAAUACCGGAGAAUGUUAUCACGGGAGACACACGGCGGGUGCUAACGUCCGUCGUGAAGAGGGAAACAACCCAGACCGCCAGCUAAGGUCCCAAAGUCAUGGUUAAGUGGGAAACGAUGUGGGAAGGCCCAGACAGCCAGGAUGUUGGCUUAGAAGCAGCCAUCAUUUAAAGAAAGCGUAAUAGCUCACUGGUCGAGUCGGCCUGCGCGGAAGAUGUAACGGGGCUAAACCAUGCACCGAAGCUGCGGCAGCGACGCUUAUGCGUUGUUGGGUAGGGGAGCGUUCUGUAAGCCUGUGAAGGUGGCCUGUGAGGGUUGCUGGAGGUAUCAGAAGUGCGAAUGCUGACAUAAGUAACGAUAAAGCGGGUGAAAAGCCCGCUCGCCGGAAGACCAAGGGUUCCUGUCCAACGUUAAUCGGGGCAGGGUGAGUCGACCCCUAAGGCGAGGCCGAAAGGCGUAGUCGAUGGGAAACGGGUUAAUAUUCCCGUACUUGGUGUUACUGCGAAGGGGGGACGGAGAAGGCUAUGUUGGCCGGGCGACGGUUGUCCCGGUUUAAGCGUGUAGGCUGGUUUUCCAGGCAAAUCCGGAAAAUCAAGGCUGAGGCGUGAUGACGAGGCACUACGGUGCUGAAGCAACAAAUGCCCUGCUUCCAGGAAAAGCCUCUAAGCAUCAGGUAACAUCAAAUCGUACCCCAAACCGACACAGGUGGUCAGGUAGAGAAUACCAAGGCGCUUGAGAGAACUCGGGUGAAGGAACUAGGCAAAAUGGUGCCGUAACUUCGGGAGAAGGCACGCUGACACGUAGGUGAAGUGAUUUACUCAUGGAGCUGAAGUCAGUCGAAGAUACCAGCUGGCUGCAACUGUUUAUUAAAAACACAGCACUGUGCAAACACGAAAGUGGACGUAUACGGUGUGACGCCUGCCCGGUGCCGGAAGGUUAAUUGAUGGGGUCAGCGCAAGCGAAGCUCCUGAUCGAAGCCCCGGUAAACGGCGGCCGUAACUAUAACGGUCCUAAGGUAGCGAAAUUCCUUGUCGGGUAAGUUCCGACCUGCACGAAUGGCGUAAUGAUGGCCAGGCUGUCUCCACCCGAGACUCAGUGAAAUUGAACUCGCUGUGAAGAUGCAGUGUACCCGCGGCAAGACGGAAAGACCCCGUGAACCUUUACUAUAGCUUGACACUGAACAUUGAGCCUUGAUGUGUAGGAUAGGUGGGAGGCUUUGAAGCGUGGACGCCAGUCUGCGUGGAGCCGACCUUGAAAUACCACCCUUUAAUGUUUGAUGUUCUAACGUGGACCCGUAAUCCGGGUUGCGGACAGUGUCUGGUGGGUAGUUUGACUGGGGCGGUCUCCUCCUAAAGAGUAACGGAGGAGCACGAAGGUUGGCUAAUCCUGGUCGGACAUCAGGAGGUUAGUGCAAUGGCAUAAGCCAGCUUGACUGCGAGCGUGACGGCGCGAGCAGGUGCGAAAGCAGGUCAUAGUGAUCCGGUGGUUCUGAAUGGAAGGGCCAUCGCUCAACGGAUAAAAGGUACUCCGGGGAUAACAGGCUGAUACCGCCCAAGAGUUCAUAUCGACGGCGGUGUUUGGCACCUCGAUGUCGGCUCAUCACAUCCUGGGGCUGAAGUAGGUCCCAAGGGUAUGGCUGUUCGCCAUUUAAAGUGGUACGCGAGCUGGGUUUAGAACGUCGUGAGACAGUUCGGUCCCUAUCUGCCGUGGGCGCUGGAGAACUGAGGGGGGCUGCUCCUAGUACGAGAGGACCGGAGUGGACGCAUCACUGGUGUUCGGGUUGUCAUGCCAAUGGCACUGCCCGGUAGCUAAAUGCGGAAGAGAUAAGUGCUGAAAGCAUCUAAGCACGAAACUUGCCCCGA
rnacentral:rRNA from 1 species